rnacentral:lncRNA from 1 species
GGCCUCGAAAAGGAUCUCUUUCAUCCCUCUACUGAGGAGAAGAGGAAAUGCAAGAAAAAUCGCCUGGUGCAGAGCCCUAAUUCCUACUUUAUAGAUGUGAAAUGCCCAGGAUGCUAUAAAAUCACCAUGGUCUCUAGCCAUGCACAAAUGGUAGUCUUGUGUGUUGGCUGCUCCACUGUCCUGUCAGCCUACAGGUGGGAAAGCAAGGCUGACAGAAAGACGCUCCUUCAGGAGGAAGCAG